CUCAACGGCCGCGGUACUACUAACCGUGCAAAGGUAGCAUAAUCACUUGUCCCCUAAAUAGAGACUAGAAUGAACGGCCAAAUGAGGGCCCAACUGUCUUUUAGCGUUAAUCAAUGAACCUGAUCUUUCAGUACAAAAGCUGAAAUAAACCCAUAAGACAAAAAGACCCUGCGGAGCUUCAAAUAAGGCCCAUAAAAUCAAUACCCCUAUUUUAAGUUGGGGCGACUACGGAACAAAAUAAAACUUCCACGCAUAGGACUAUACACCCCAAAAAGAUUAACACAUCAAAAUGAUAUUAUUUUGACCCAGACAAAAACUGAGUAACGAACCAAGUUACCCCAGGGAUAACAGCGCCAUCCUCUUCAAGAGCCCCUAUCAUCAAGAGGGUUUACGACCUCGAUGUUGGAUCAGGGCCCCCAAGUGGUGCAGUCGCUACUUAAGGUUCGUUUGUUCAACGAUUAAUGCCCU
rnacentral:rRNA from 1 species